rnacentral:rRNA from 1 species
AGGCAGAUGGAAUUGGUGGUGUAGGGGUAAAAUCCGUAGAGAUCACCAGGAAUACCCAUUGCGAAGGCGAUCUGCUGGAACUCAACUGACGCUAAUGCGUGAAAGCGUGGGGAGCAAACAGGAUUAGAUACCCUGGUAGUCCACGCCCUAAACGAUGUAUACUAGUUGUUGCUAAGCUAGUCUUGGCAGUAAUGCACCUAACGGAUUAAGUAUACCGCCUGGGGAGUACGGUCGCAAGAUUAAAACUCAAAGGAAUAGACGGGGACCCGCACAAGCGGUGGAGCAUGUGGUUUAAUUCGAAGAUACGCGAAGAACCUUACCCGGACUUGAUAUCUAACAAAUCAUCUAGAGAUAGAAGAGUGUCUGCUUGCAGAAAUGUUAAGACAGGUGCUGCACGGCUGUCGUCAGCUCGUGUCGUGAGAUGUUGGGUUAAGUCCCGCAACGAGCGCAACCCACGUCAUUAGUUGCUAACAGUUAGGCUGAGCACUCUAAUGAGACUGCCUUCGUAAGGAGGAGGAAGGUGUGGACGACGUCAAGUCAUCAUGGCCCUUAUGUCCGGGGCGACA